rnacentral:rRNA from 1 species
UAGGGAAUCUUCCGCAAUGGGCGAAAGCCUGACGGAGCAACGCCGCGUGAGUGAUGAAGGUCUUCGGAUCGUAAAACUCUGUUAUUAGGGAAGAACAAAUGUGUAAGUAACUAUGCACGUCUUGACGGUACCUAAUCAGAAAGCCACGGCUAACUACGUGCCAGCAGCCGCGGUAAUACGUAGGUGGCAAGCGUUAUCCGGAAUUAUUGGGCGUAAAGCGCGCGUAGGCGGUUGUUUAAGUCUGAUGUGAAAGCCCACGGCUCAACCGUGGAGGGUCAUUGGAAACUGGAAAACUUGAGUGCAGAAGAAGAAAGUGGAAUUCCAUGUGUAGCGGUGAAAUGCGCAGAAAUAUGGAGGAACACCAGUGGCGAAGGCGACUUUCUGGUCUGUAACUGACGCUGAUGUGCGAAAGCGGGGGGAUCAAACAGG